UGGGGAAUAUUGCGCAAUGGGCGAAAGCCUGACGCAGCGACGCCGCGUGGGGGAUGAAGGCCUUCGGGUUGUAAACCUCUUUCAGCUCUGACGAAGCGCAAGUGACGGUAGGAGCAGAAGAAGCACCGGCUAACUACGUGCCAGCAGCCGCGGUAAUACGUAGGGUGCAAGCGUUGUCCGGAAUUAUUGGGCGUAAAGAGCUCGUAGGCGGUUUGUCGCGUCUGGUGUGAAAAUCCAGGGCUUAACCCUGGACCUGCAUCGGGUACGGGCAGACUAGAGUGCGGUAGGGGAGAUCGGAAUUCCUGGUGUAGCGGUGAAAUGCGCAGAUAUCAGGAGGAACACCGGUGGCGAAGGCGGAUCUCUGGGCCGUAACUGACGCUGAGGAGCGAAAGCAUGGGGAGCGAACA
rnacentral:rRNA from 1 species